rnacentral:rRNA from 1 species
AGCGUACACGGUGGAUGCCUAGGCAGUCAGAGGCGAUGAAGGACGUGCUAAUCUGCGAUAAGCGCCGGUAAGGUGAUAUGAACCGUUAUAACCGGCGAUUUCCGAAUGGGGAAACCCAGUGCAAUUCGUUGCACUAUCAUUACCUGAAUACAUAGGGUAAUGAAGCGAACCGGGAGAACUGAAACAUCUAAGUACCCCGAGGAAAAGAAAUCAAACGAGAUUCCCCCAGUAGCGGCGAGCGAACGGGGAGCAGCCCAGGACCUUAAUCAGCAUCAGUGUUAAGAGAACAGUCUGGAAAGGCUGGCCACAGCAGGUGAUAGCCCUGUAUCUGAAAGCACUGGUGUUGUGAGUCCGAUGAGUAAGGCGGGACACGUGUUAUCCUGUCUGAAUACGGGGGGACCAUCCUCCAAGGCUAAAUACUCCUGACUGACCGAUAGUGAACCAGUACCGUGAGGGAAAGGCGAAAAGAACCCCGGCGAGGGGAGUGAAAAAGAACCUGAAACCGUGUACGUACAAGCAGUGGGAGCACCUUUAUGGUGUGACUGCGUACCUUUUGUAUAAUGGGUCAGCGACUUAUAUUCUGUAGCAAGGUUAACCGAAUAGGGGAGCCGCAGGGAAACCGAGUCUUAACUGGGCGAAUUAGUUGCAGGGUAUAGACCCGAAACCCGGUGAUCUAGCCAUGGGCAGGUUGAAGGUUGGGUAACACUAACUGGAGGACCGAACCGACUAAUGUUGAAAAAUUAGCGGAUGACUUGUGGCUGGGGGUGAAAGGCCAAUCAAACCGGGAGAUAGCUGGUUCUCCCCGAAAGCUAUUUAGGUAGCGCCUCGUGAAUUCAUCUCCGGGGGUAGAGCACUGUUUCGGCUAGGGGGUCAUCCCGACUUACCAACCCGAUGCAAACUGCGAAUACCGGAGAAUGUUAUCACGGGAGACACACGGCGGGUGCUAACGUUCGUCGUGAAGAGGGAAACAACCCAGACCGCCGGCUAAGGUCCCAAAGUCAUAAUUAAGUGGGAAACGAAGUGGGAAGGCUCAGACAGCCAGGAUGUUGGCUUAGAAGCAGCCAUCAUUUAAAGAAAGCGUAAUAGCUCACUGGUCGAGUCGGCCUGCGCGGAAGAUGUAACGGGGCUAAAUUAUGCACCGAAGCCGCGGCAGCGAUAUGUAAAUAUUGUUGGGUAGGGGAGCGUUCUGUAAGCCUGUGAAGGUGACCUGUGAGGGUUGCUGGAGGUAUCAGAAGUGCGAAUGCUGACAUAAGUAACGAUAAUGCGGGUGAAAAACCCGCACGCCGGAAGACCAAGGGUUCCUGUCCAACGUUAAUCGGGGCAGGGUGAGUCGACCCCUAAGGCGAGGCUGAAAAGCGUAGUCGAUGGGCAACGGGUUAAUAUUCCCGUACUGGUGGUAACUGCGAAGGGGGGACGGAGAAAGCUAAAUCAUCCGGGCGACGGUUGUCCCGGUUUAAGCGUGCAGGUGGACUGACCAGGCAAAUCCGGUCGGUUGUUAACACUGAGGCGUGACGACGAGCCACCACGGUGGUGAAGUGAUUGAUGCUCUGCUUCCGGGAAAAGCCUCUAAGCUCCAGGUUACCAUUAAUCGUACCCCAAACCGACACAGGUGGUCAGGUAGAGAAUACUCAGGCGCUUGAGAGAACUCGGGUGAAGGAACUAGGCAAAAUGGUGCCGUAACUUCGGGAGAAGGCACGCUGGCAUUAGGUGAAGUGGUUUACCCACGGAGCUGAAGCCAGCCGCAGAUACCAGCUGGCUGCAACUGUUUAUUAAAAACACAGCACUGUGCAAACACGAAAGUGGACGUAUACGGUGUGACGCCUGCCCGGUGCCGGAAGGUUAAUUGAUGAGGUCAGCCGCAAGGCGAAGCUUCUGAUCGAAGCCCCGGUAAACGGCGGCCGUAACUAUAACGGUCCUAAGGUAGCGAAAUUCCUUGUCGGGUAAGUUCCGACCUGCACGAAUGGCGUAAUGAUGGCCAGGCUGUCUCCACCCGAGACUCAGUGAAAUUGAACUCGCUGUGAAGAUGCAGUGUACCCGCGGCAAGACGGAAAGACCCCGUGAACCUUUACUAUAGCUUGACACUGAACAUUGAGCCUUGAUGUGUAGGAUAGGUGGGAGGCAACGAAGUGUGGACGCCAGUCUGCACGGAGCCAUCCUUGAAAUACCACCCUUUAACGUUUGAUGUUCUAACCCGGGUCCAUAAUCUGGAUCGGGGACCGUGUCUGGUGGGUAGUUUGACUGGGGCGGUCUCCUCCCAAAGAGUAACGGAGGAGCACGAAGGUUGGCUAAGCAUGGUCGGACAUCAUGCGGUUAGUGCAAAGGCAUAAGCCAGCUUGACUGCGAGAGUGACGGCUCGAGCAGGUACGAAAGUAGGUCUUAGUGAUCCGGUGGUUCUGAAUGGAAGGGCCAUCGCUCAACGGAUAAAAGGUACUCCGGGGAUAACAGGCUGAUACCGCCCAAGAGUUCAUAUCGACGGCGGUGUUUGGCACCUCGAUGUCGGCUCAUCACAUCCUGGGGCUGAAGUAGGUCCCAAGGGUAUGGCUGUUCGCCAUUUAAAGUGGUACGCGAGCUGGGUUUAGAACGUCGUGAGACAGUUCGGUCCCUAUCUGCCGUGGGCGCUGGAAGAUUGAGAGGGGUUGCUCCUAGUACGAGAGGACCGGAGUGAACGCACCACUGGUGUACGGGUUGUGAUGCCAAUUGCAUUGCCCGGUAGCUAAGUGCGGAAGAGAUAACCGCUGAAAGCAUCUAAGCGGGAAACUUGCCUCGAGAUGAGUCUUCCCUGACCCUUUAAGGGUCCUGAAGGAACGUUUGA